rnacentral:rRNA from 1 species
UACGUAGGCAGCGAGCGUUGUUCGGAAUUACUGGGCGUAAAGAGUGUGUAGGCGGUGCUCUAAGUUCGGUGUGAAAUCUCCUGCUUAACUGGGAGGGUGCGCCGGGAAACUGGGGUGCUCGAGCGUGGGAGAGGAAAGCGGAAUUCCUGGUGUAGCGGUGAAAUGCGUAGAUAUCAGGAGGAACACCGGUGGUGUAAACGGCUUUCUGGACCAUAACUGACGCUGAUGCACGAAAGCGUGGGUAGCAAACAGG